rnacentral:rRNA from 1 species
UUUGGAAGUAAAAAAUCGUAACAAGGUUUCGGUAGGUGAACUUGCGGAAGGAUCAUUGUCGAUUCUUGCGAUAGCAGAACGACCCGGUAACACGUAAACACAUCGGGCAAGCGUCAUUGGGCUUUGGUCCCUUUUCCGCGAACCCCAGGUAGGUGUCCGCUUAGAUUCUAAGGGGCCACCGGCCGACGAAAUCAUCCGGGCGCGGAAUGCGCCAAGGAACUUAAAAUCGAUUUGUAUGCUCGCUUCCCGUUAUCGGGCAGCGGCGUCAAUCCAAAACACAACGACUCUCGACAACGGAUAUCCCGGCUCUCGCAUCGAUGAAGAACGUAGCGAAAUGCGAUACUUGGUGUGAAUUGCAGAAUCCCGUGAACCAUCGAGUCUUUGAACGCAAGUUGCGCCCGAAGCCAUUAGGCCGAGGGCACGUCUGCCUGGGUGUCACGCAUCGACAUGCCCCCAACCACGUACCCCUAGAGGGGAGCGUGAUGACUUGGGGGCGGAAGUUGGCCUCCCGUGCCUUAAGGCGCGGAUGGCGCAAAUGAGAGUCUCUGGCGACGAACGUCGUGACAUUGGUGGUUGUAAAAGAACCUCUUUCCUUGUCGCGCGUAUCCGUCAUCUUUUAGAGCUCUAGGACCCUCUUGGCGGCACACAUUCUGUGCGCUCCGACUGUGACCCCAGUCAGGCGAUGCAAGGAU